AAAUAGGUUAGUGGACCACAGUUGAUUUUUUUAGUAAACGCAAAAUCUUUGGCCUUUUUCCCCACAAUAUUUCAGAUGGAUUGAGAAAUGACUUUAAGAUAAGGAUAGGAUGGGAUUAUCAGGGCUAUUAUAAUCAACUAAAACUAAAACUAAUAUUAAAACCAUAAAAAACAAUUUUGUUAACUUGGGGAAAAAAAAACGUUUUUUAGAGUUGCCAUGCACACACACACACACACACACACACACACACACACACACACACAUACAUAUAGGCUAUAAAUUACAAAGGCACAACAAAACUUUAACUGAUAUUAAAAUGAAAUUGAAAGUAUAAAAAAGAAAACUGGAUCAAAAUAUUAAUGAUGUCAGUGAUCCUAAAACAACACUGGGAAUUAUUUAUCAUUUCACCAAAAAAAAUGUGGUUUAAAAAUCAUGUUAAAAGAUUUUUUUAAAUAUAUGUAAUUAUAAACACAGUUUCUGAUGUUCUGAUGAGUUAACAGUCACCAACAACAUUUUUCUUUCUGUGCCUCAGGAUCCCAAAGUCUUCAUUCAUCUUUAUGAGAGCAUGAAACCACCUGCUAGUACUGUAGAAGCCUGGGGCAACGCGGACGGACGCUGUGGCGUCUGCUUCACUCACUUUAGCCAGCUGAAGCAGGAGGCUAUCCGCACGAUCCUCACCCAGGACCGGGCCAUAUGGGCUCCACCUACCACUGCCAACAUCGCAUCCACAAGCCUAGACUCAGGCUCACAAACACUCCCCAGAACCUCAAGCCACCGAUCUGUUGUCUCAGACCCCCAUCAGAGGAAAAGCAAUGCAGCACCAGAUUACUGGAUUAAAGGACGUCAGCACUUGGAGGCCCUGUGGCCCCUGUCCUCAUGCAAAGGAAACAAUUCAGUGUCUCAAAAGUCCUCCCAGAGUCCUUCGCAUGCAGGGAAGGUGAAUGAAAAGGAGAAUGUAACCUCUACAGCACUAUGCAACUACGGCGCUACACAGCCGACGCGUUCUUCCAGUAUGUCCUCUCUGCUCCCUGCAGGAACAUCUGCUGCAUUGUCUUUCUUUGUCCGGUAAGAGGUGCUGACCAGAAAAUAAAAAAUAACUAAAAUAACUAAAGGUUUGUGUU
ensembl:lncRNA